UACAACUUGAGGAAGACCAGCGGAUUCUGAGACAACAACAAGAAGAAUUUGUCGAAAAACUAAAAGAGGAUUGUAAACAAUCCAUAGAUGAACUUGAAGAGACGCUGAAUGCAAGGCACGCACGAGAAAUGAAUGAAUUGGUGAGGCAACAAACAGAGGAUAUAGAAUUGCUCCAUAAACGCUACAAACGAGAAUUAUCUGAACAAGCUGAGCAGAAUGAUCAGCUGACUGAAACAUUAAAAACAAAGCAUGCUGAUGAAAAAAGACU